rnacentral:rRNA from 1 species
UACGUAGGGGGCUAGCGUUGUUCGGAUAUACUGGGCGUAAAGCGCACGUAGGCGGCGUCGUAAGUCAGGGGUGAAAUCCCGGAGCUCAACUCCGGAACUGCCUUUGAAACUGCAAUGCUAGAAUCUUGGAGAGGCGAGUGGAAUUCCGAGUGUAGAGGUGAAAUUCGUAGAUAUUCGGAAGAACACCAGUGGCGAAGGCGACUCGCUGGACAAGUAUUGACGCUGAGGUGCGAAAGCGUGGGGAGCAAACAGG